CGGCAGGGGUUGCAUGUGCGGUGUUGUGGGCCCCUCCUUGUCAUGUCUGCCGGCAUGGCGCAGUGAGGUGCGGGCAUAUAGACGAACCAGUGUGGGCUGGACCGUAGAGGGUGAGAGUCCCGUAGU
rnacentral:rRNA from 1 species